CUACCACUCAAGUUUAACUUGGUAUUGGGCACUGUAGCCCCCUUAAAUGGGGCAACAUGCCUUAAAUUUAGCCGGCAACAAGCACCAGUUCCGAGCGUAGCAGUAAAACAUUUCGCUUUGGGGGCUUUGGAGCAUUGUUCACCGCACAAGUUAACUACA
rnacentral:misc_RNA from 1 species